AAUGUACGCAGUCGCCAAGAAGCGUUAUAUAAAGAAAAACUGCAAUGUUUACAAGUCGUAAGCAAUUUAGUAGGACAAGUGUGUAAAGAAACGGUUAAAUUAGAAAUUCUGGAAAAUAUCAACAAAAUCAAAACAUUGGAACGUAAGGAGUUAUUUACUGAAAACCAAUAUUUAGAAGAAAUCUGUGGAGUGACUGGUACCUUACGUGUGCACAGAAAAUCAAAAAUAUUUUCUAGUAUCAAAACUAUAAUUCCUACUACACAAAGUGUGACCAGCCCAAGAUUUUUUGAAUUUCCCGCCAAACAUUUGGGUAAAAUUUCAGUAGCCAGACUCUAUUACUUAUGAAGGC